GUAAGCCAGGUUGGUUUCUAUCUUUUAAUAAUUAAAAUAUUUUAGUACGAAAGGAUUAAAUAUUUAAAUUAAAUUUAUUAGUUUUGAAUUUUAUUAAAUAAAAAUAAAAUUAUUUAUUUUGCUAUAUAUAUAUAUAUAUAUAUAUA
rnacentral:rRNA from 1 species